UUGACCUCGGAUCAGGUAGGACUACCCGCUGAACUUAAGCAUAUCAAUAAGCGGAGGAAAAGAAACCAACAGGGAUUGCCUCAGUAACGGCCAGUGAAGCGGCACCAGCUCAGAUUUGGAAUCUGGCCCCCCAGGGCCCGAGUUGUAAUCUGCAGAGGAAGCUUCUGGCGCGGCGCCCACCGAGUUCCCUGGAACGGGACGCCGGAGAGGGUGAGAGCCCCGUACGGUGGGACGCCAAGCCUCUGUGAAGCUCCUUCGACGAGUCGAGUAGUUUGGGAAUGCUGCUCUAAGCGGGAGGUAAAUUUCUUCCAAAGCUAAAUACCGGCCAGAGACCGAUAGCGCACAAGUAGAGUGAUCGAAAGAUGAAAAGCACUUGAAAAGAGGGUCAAACAGUACGUGAAAUUGUUGAAAGGGAAG
rnacentral:rRNA from 1 species